GGGAAAGAGGAGAACAAAGGACGAGAAAGAAAAAGGAGAAGAAGAGAAGAAAAGAAAGAAAAAGAAGAAGAGACCAGGGGGACGAAGAGAGGAACAGAAUGAAAUGGAAAAGAAGAUAGAGGGAGAGACUUAAGAAAGGGAAAUAGAGAGAUGUUGAGAAGAAAACAGAGAGAGGAGAGGGAGGGAGAGAUGAAGUUUGGGUUUUGAGAGUUUGCACUUUAAAAGACAGAAAGAAAGAGAGGAGGAGACGGGAAAGACGGAUGACAGAGAGAAGAGGAGAAAGAAAGAAAAGAAGAAGAAAUAGGAAGAGGGAAGAAGAAUACGUUUUUAUUUCCGGAUGGGUGCUUUCUAAGGGAGAGAUCAGAAACGAGAGAGAGAGGAGAGAGGAGAGUUUGUUUGAAGUUAAUAGGCAAGAACUUGGUUUUGGUUUGGUUUCUUUUUGCAUUAUGCAGGCAUAAGUUGUUUGACUGUAUUGAAGGCAUCAACAUCUGGGUCUGAUUACCUAUUUACUGGGAGCUGCGAUGGAACACUAAAAAGAUGGGUUGUGGCUGAAGAUGCCGCUAACUCCUCAGCAACCUUUGAGUCUCAUGUGGAUUGGGUAUUCAUUUUCCUUCCAAUAUUUAAAUCUAGUAUUUGACAGGACUUGCAAUAUGAUCUAGAUGCUAGACUGAUGAUACUUCCAUAAAGAAAUAAUUAUGGGAAUUCUUAUUUGGUCUUCAAAUUUCGUUGGGAGUCAAUUUUUCAAGUUGAAUUCGUAAUUCAGUCCAAUGAGCCUAGUAAAUGGUACAAGGCAGAAUGAAAAAAGAAGAAGAAGAAAUUUGGAGUUGUUUAGAAUCUUGUAGAUUAUUUUUUAGUGACAUUUUUGUUGGUUUACUCAUGAACCAGGUUUUGUCUUCUUUCCUCUAUUUCUUAUUCUUUCUUGUGUUUGAAACUCUGAAGGACUUCAUGUAUUUUUCCUGCUUUCAAAACUAGUUUGGUUACUGCUUUUGCUUUCUGACAUGGCUCACAUCAGUGGACUUGUUUGUGCUCAGGUGUGUUUUGGAUCCUUUGUGUUCCAAAAUUAUAGUAUUGUCAAUUAUUCAAGAUUUGCUCAAGUAUUGUAAUUGGCAGUGCAAAUUGGAGGCAAUAAUCUUUUUGAUAAAGCAGCUGCUUUGCAUAUCUUAGCUUCCGCAUGCAUGUGAUGGUUUAGUGCUUGUAGGAAUUUGUCAUUUCAAAUGAUGCAUGCAUUACGGCCAUAUGUUCCCUUG